rnacentral:tRNA from 1 species
CGGGGCGUGGUGUAACGGCUAACAUGCAUCACUUGGGCUGAUGUGACUCUGGGUUCGAAUCCCAGCGCUCCGA